AAAAUUCGCAAUUAAUAGUACCCGCAUUUAAAAGUAACCUUAAGGUACUGAUAUAUUGCCCAUCCUUAUUGGUACUGCAUUUCUCUAUUCUCAUCGUUGUGUUCCUUGACCCCUAUUCUUGUAUAUCUUAAUUUGUCUCGUAUUGACAUUUCUUCCUCUCUUUUGCCUUCUCUCCUCCUAGUAUGUGUACAUGUACAUCUAACUUUUGCUCUUUCUCUUUUCUUCCUAUAUAGGAUUCUCCUAUCUCUUAUGUUCUUUGUCUUCUUGUGUAUAAUACAGUUCCUUACUGAUACUAUAAGCUUGUGUUAACACAUACACAUUGCGUGUCAAGAAUCAAGAUUCCAUUUCCGGCAAAAGAUGUGGGAGCAGAACUAUCCUAACAACAUGAUGUGCCGUUAACUACUCAUAAUCAAUAAACAGUUUGUUCCAUGGACAUUAACUUAUUACUUAGAGAAAAUGAUGUGUUGAGAUUAAUAUGCACUAAUGCAAUGUGUCACCAUUUUCUUGAUGCAUCAAGCUUAGGAGAUACUGAGGUCAUCAAUGAGUCUUGCAUUCAAGCUUGCUGUCUUUCAAAAUUAGGACACUGUACAUAAACUUGCAUUUUUGUGUUCUUUUUAUAAUGUUGUAAUUGUUUUUGUUACCUAAAAUAACUAUUCUUUAAUACUAUAAUGCGAUAGCAGUCCAUGAACUGAUGCCACAA
rnacentral:lncRNA from 1 species